GCACGGCGUUGAGGGCUAGGCGUACAGUUCGGUGAUUAAAGACCGAUCGGUUAAAACCGACGGUGAAAAUUGUAAUCAUCGGUUACGACCGCGAGUGUUAGGCUUCUGUGAUUUAUAGAUUGGCGAAUCGCAAAGUAGUUAUCGAUUUGUUUAAAAGGUCGACGCUUAUUUACGUGUCGUUGUUGAAUAAGUUCAGUGCCGUCGAGUAUCGAUAUUAAGAUAUCAAAAAUAAAAUAAAAUA